AUGAGUGAGAUGAGUGACUCCACCAUAUAUGACAUUGAGUGCAUUUCCUAUAAGAGGAUGAGUGUGACCACCACUAGCCCCAUACAUGAGAGCAUGUCACAUAUCCUAUGUGAGGUUGAGAGCCAUUUGAGUGACUCCACCAACCAUAUGAGUGAGAGCAUCAUACCGGGAGUGAGUGAGCCACAACACUUAGUGAGUGAGGUAGUUGAGAGGGCACGUGAGGCCACUAUGAUUUCUAACGAUUUAACCUCUACUCCGAGUGUGUUUUCUUCUUUGGUUCUAGGUCUCCUACAUGAUGACUUGCCUACCCUCGACGAGUCCAUACCUACAACGAUGACGGUGGCCAUGGUGGAAGAUGAUGCACCCUCCACAUGGUUCCAUCAAGAUGAAGAUGACCACGACUUGGUCUUCGACACCUCACCUACAACACAUGAGCGAUGCUCUAAAGGUAACAUAGGUGAUGGUUCCUUUCUUGUCCCACUACUGGACUAUCUCACCAAUGAUUGCUUGCAUGAUGUUGAUCCACCUAUUCCCAUGCUUCAUGCUAGAGAGAAUUCCUCAGGUCAUGACUUACCCAUUUAUGAUGAAUAUGAUGAUGAGCAUGUUGAGUUGCCUAGUUGUGAUGUUAUGCUCCAUAGGAUAUCAUGUGAAAAUUCUAUUGGUCAAGUCAUGUUUGAUAAUCCUUUAAACUUGUCAUAUGAUAUGAGUGAGAUAUCCCAUAUUGCAUCAUUUCAAUCUCAACAUAGUAGCUAUGCAUGCCCCAUUAAAAUAAAUCCCAUUUGCACUUAUGGCAUAGAUGACAAGAUGAUGGUCAUUGGCUUUUGUUUUUCAUGCGAUGAUAUUGCUAUGCUCCCUUUACAUGAUUUGCGCAAUUCAUCUCCUAUACCAUGCCAUGAUCACAUUGUUCCAAAUAUGCAUUGUUUUGAAUGUUGUCAAUAUUCUCCGUGUGAUGUUUCCAUUAAUGCUAAUGAGGAGACCCCCAUAGUUUCCUCAUACAUAUUAGGAGAUUUUGAUGCAUUCCAUACUUUGCAUGAUUCUCAUAAUUGCUUGCACCAUAUGCAUUCCAUGAAUAACAAUCCUCUACAUAUUUCUCAUGAUGCAUUGCCCAAUUUGAGUCUCCAUUAUGCUAUACAUCACAACAAACCUAUCUUGAUGGAUGACAUGUUUCUAUAUCACGCAUCUCAUUUAUUUGAGCAUUGGCUAUUUUGUUCUAACCAACACAUGCACGUGCGCAUCAUGAUGGAUGAUGUGUACAUAUACCAUGCACACACAAUUUUCCUUUUGCCUUUGUUUUGUGUAGGUACUCACGUAUAUGCGUCAACCUCUCAAUCCCAAGAGUUGACGAAACGAGCUCUUGUGAGCAACGAUGACUUGGGAUCCCAUGGAUUGUCCUUCCCACCAUUUUCUUCACGCAACGACUACGGGCAUCUAUUUUACUUGGCCCUCACAUGGCUUUGGGCUAUUUACCACUUGCUACAUUAUGCCCAUUCUAUCGUGUUCACUUUGCAUGCUAUGCCUCUUUCUAUGAUUUUGCCAUGCAAUUGUGACCCUUGCUUGCAUCUACCCAUGAUUCACCGUUAUGCUACUCCUAUGUGUAUUUGCAUGCUUGGUGGAGAUCCUUGUUGCUAUUGCCAUGUUUAUCAUGUGCCUCAUGCUAUUGAUGCUUGUUAUGUUGGGAGAGUCAUGAUGUCUCAUUGCUAUUUACAUAUGGCCUCUCGCCAAUACAUUCAUGAUAUUUUGCUCAUAUCUUGCCUUCAUGCUUGUGAUAUGUCUUGUGCAUUAUUCAUGACCACCAUUUGCACACAUGACAUGCUUGACAUGAUUCCCUCUAGUAUGUUGCAUCUUCGCACUUCUAGCUCACACCACUUGAUUGCUGUGAUUGCUUGCUUUGUUGCAUCACCCAUGUUCCUUUAUUACUCGCUUUCUUGGGUUGAUGACAUAUACGUUCAUGCCUCUCACAUGAUACAUCUUGUUCAUUGUCGCUCGCCUCCAAUUGUUGCAUCUAUUCUCAUUGAUCUUGGAGACUUGGACAUAUUACUUGUUCAUUUGUUUUUCCGAGUGUUUGUCAUGUUCUUUCAUUUUGAAGGAUUCACAAGGUGGCACCGUCAUGAAACACCUUGGUCAUGUGAAGGCGUACAUGAUGCACAACACCAACAUUUUAGACAUUCUCAUAAAGGUGAACUCAUUCCCUUUGAGCCAUUCUCAAAUACGCAUAUUGGAUGGGUCAUUCUUUCAUUGUUGCCUCUUUCUUGUUGUCUACAUGAUACAUCUAUUGGAUGGAGGACCUACAUUGGAGAUGGACCCUAUGCACCUUCAAGUUGA
rnacentral:rRNA from 1 species